rnacentral:rRNA from 1 species
GACGAACGCUGGCGGCGUGCCUAAUACAUGCAAGUCGAGCGAAUCGAUGGGAGCUUGCUCCCUGAGAUUAGCGGCGGACGGGUGAGUAACACGUGGGUAACCUGCCUGUAAGACUGGGAUAACUUCGGGAAACCGGAGCUAAUACCGGAUGCUUUCUUUUCUCGCAUGAGGGAAGAUGGAAAGAUGGUUCUGCUAUCACUUACAGAUGGACCCGCGGCGCAUUAGCUAGUUGGUGAGGUAACGGCUCACCAAGGCAACGAUGCGUAGCCGACCUGGGAGGGUGAUCGGCCACACUGGGACUGAGACACGGCCCAGACUCCUACGGGAGGCAGCAGUAGGGAAUCUUCCGCAAUGGACGAAAGUCUGACGGAGCAACGCCGCGUGAGCGAAGAGGGCCUUCGGGUCGUAAAGCUCUGUUGUUAGGGAAGAACAAGUACGAGAGUAACUGCUCGUACCUUGACGGUACCUAACCAGAAAGCCACGGCUAACUACGUGCCAGCCGCCGCGGUAACAC